rnacentral:lncRNA from 13 species
CCUGCCCAAAGGAGCCAACUGGGGCCAACUAGAACAUCUCUGCUGCCUCCUAAGGGAGUGAGUGUGUUUUCUGGAGCUGCUGCCUAUGAUUGCAGGGGAGAAAGAUGAUCUGAAGAGUCAGCUGUGAACUUAUUGCUGCCCAUUCUCCAAGUGAGUGGACCAUUUACUUUCAAGAGAUGAAUAGCGUAAGAAAGAUUGUGAGCACCAAAGCUGCCUUGUCCUGAUCCUUGUCUGACGAUCUACCUGCCACAUGAGCCUCCA